GGUAAGAUAAAGGUCUCAGACGAUCAUAGUCUUCCUAAGGAAGAAAAAUUCUGUUAUCUGCAAUAUUAAAUUGUUGCCUGUAUUUUAACAUUUGUAUUCACUAUUUGUAUUUGUAUUAAGAUUGUUGAGGCAAACUUUCUGAAUGUUUAAAACUAUUCCAGGUUAGUUAGUGUCACUGUUAGACCAAAAUCUACAUAUGAAGAUAACUAUAUGUGAAUAUAAAUAUUUUGAAAAAUGAUAGAAACUUGCUUCUCUAUGAGAAUAUACAGAAUAUUACCAUUCAAAAAGUUUUCAUUUAAGGAAAAAACCAAAAGGCUUACAGUUCAAACAUACUUGCAGAUCAAAGAUUAGUAUUUGUAGAGAAAUGAGCAGGUGUGACUGCUGUAGAGUCAUCCAGGUUAUACAAAGCUAGGCUAGAUUAAGGCUAUUUGAUGCACUUAAAUGUUCUGUUUUGGAUCAUACACAGAGGUAAUAUAUAAAGCCCUCCUUAGAAUUUUCCUUGUCUCUUAGAAACCUUACAGUCCUGUUCCUAGUGUUCAGGACAGCAAGAAGGAUCAGUAUGGACCUCUUUUGUCUAGACUGUGCUUUCUAUUAACAAACCCAGCAAAGGAUCAUAUGGACAGAAAUUCAGGAUCAAGAAUACUAUCAGUGGAAUAUUAAUGUGUUUGUUUGUUUGUUGGGAGCAUGGGGGAGGAGCUAGUGUGAAAAGAUUGUUUAGGACAUUUAGAGCCUCAGCAUUUAAAGCCAGCAGUCCUACUGCCAGGGUGUACAAUACUGUGGCAAGACAAGUACCUGGGAGCAUUGCCCCUGUUGUAAAGCAGUUCUCUCUGGCAAGCCAGAGAGUGGAUUUUUGCCCUAUGUUUUAGCCAACAGCCAGAGGGAACAUGCCCCAGCUUCUCUGCAAGGCUUCCUUUGGUCUUUGGCACUGAACCAAUGCCUUACCAUUCCUACCAUAGAAUUGUGGUGGUUUUUGGAACAUAGAUAACUAAGACUGAGCCCAGGCAUUGCAGAGACACUGACUACUGCUGGAUUUAUACCUUCCACAGUGAGCAGCAGUUUAUUAGGGCUGCUGCAGCAGUUUCCCUCUUCCCCAUGUAAACUCCCCAUCUUAAGUAAAUCUCACAAAUAUUGCAAUGAUUCGUUCAUUAAACAUAGAGACAGAAAUGUAAUUCAAGUCCAAUUUUGAAAUGAGCCAGAAAAUUAAUUUUUUGUUUCCUUGGCAACAACCACAUUAACAUGUUAUUAACCUAUAGUCACAGCCUCAAAAAUACCCUGCAUUGAUUUGUUAGGUUUUAAACCUGGUUACUGAAAUUUCAGAAAUAGUGUGAGAACUUCCUCAGAACAGUUUCUGCUUGGCUCAUCUUUUCAUUUGAAAGUCAACAGCUAUGGGAAGAGAGCUGUUAUUCUCAUGAACUGGAGGAAAGACAAGCACAGGCAGAAAUUCUGCAGUAGCAAAGAGGUCUCCUUUUCCGUGUUACAGUACUUAAUAAUCUGCCUGAGAUUUUCUGCUGCCUCGUACUUGAAUACUGAAUUUUGGAUGGUGGAGUGGAUGAGCUCUAACAUGUCCAAAAUCUGGCUAUUUCCAACAUUUACCUGUUCAGAAAUAGAGAUCUUGAGAAGCUUUUUGUAUGGAGACUGAAGAAUGGGUAUUGCAUUCCACAGCUUUAUAAUAUUCUUCAUUUCAUGGGUUUGCUCAGACCGAAAGCAGAACACAGUGUCCUGUUUCAAGUCAUGCAUUAGAUUUUGACUUUGAAGUAAUACUUUUGCCCAGUUCUGUGGAUAUCAGCUAAGACAGAGCUAAAACCACACAAACUGUGUUCCAAAUUCUGCCACUGACACAGUAUAUAGUCCUGAGCAAAUCAUUAUCCUCUCUCUAUUUGCAUCUUUCCAUCUGUAGGGGUUUACUAGCUUAAUAAUGCAUUAGUCUUUGCAAAGCACUCCAAAAGCCUUUGAUGUACACAGCUUAUGUGCAGUGAGAUAUUUAAAACAAAACAAAACAAAAAUAAACUCAGACAAAAUGGAGUAUAAUAAUUUCUGGACAGCCUUUUUGACCUACAAAAAGCACUAUUUCCAUAUAUUUAUUAGAACACUGAAGUGUGAGGCACAGACUUACAGAGAUUCUGUCAUAGAGACCUUGUAGCUCCCCUGAUUUAUGGUAUCACGCUCCUCCCGGCUUGAAGUUGGCGUGAUAGACACACAGACAGAGGUCCUUACCCCUCUGUCAGUAGUGUGAGACCACAGGCCUCCUGUCCUCUGAAAUGGUAUUAGGGUCUCUGUCCACUUUGGAGAGAUGAAAGGCAACUAGUUCUUUGCAGCCAAUACCUUCCCGCACCUUGACCAAGACCUUAGAGGAAGUCCAUGUCUCUCAGAUCUGCCCUUGCAAGUUGUGAGGAGAAUGUUAAUCUAGUUCUAUCUGGUUGAUUUUUAUUUCCUUGCUAGUGUUUUUAAGAAAAUAGGACAAACCAAAUUCUGAUAUGUCAUUAACACUGACUCAGGGGCCUAUGAUGUGUCAUGUUUUAAUCCAUGUUCAUUGUCUUGUUCUGAAAGAACCAAAGUAAUUAUUUUAUGCGUUUUGCAGCUUAAGAAUGAAAUUUUAACAAUGCAUCUUCAGUUGUUAUACUGACAUAUCAUUGAUAAAUCUAUUUUCUGUUCCAAGAGGUAUAAGUAGAUGGGUGAAAACAAAAUAAAGCUUGCACCACUGGAAGAAAAACUGGAGCUCAAAA